ACGUGGGGGUAACCCUGCCCAAGAGAUCGGGGAUAACACCUGGGAAACAGAUGCUAAUACCGGAUAACAACAGAUGAUGCCUAUCAACUGUUUUAAAAGAUGGUUCUGCUAUCACUCUUGGGAUGGACCUGCGGUGCAUUAGCUAGUUGGUAGGGGUAACGGGCCUACCAAGGCGAUGAUGCAUAGCCCGAGUUGAGAGACUGAUCGGGCCGCAUUGGGACUGAGACACGGGCCCAAACUCCUACGGGAGGCAGCAGUAGGGGGAAUCUUCCACAAUGGACGCAAAGUCUGAUGGAGCAAAACGCCGCGUGAGUGAAGAAGGGUUUCGGCUCGUAAAAGCUCUGUUGUUGGUGAAGAAGGACAGGGGUAGUAACUGACCCUUUGUUUGACGGUAAUCAAUUUAGAAAGUCACGGGCUAACUACGUGCCCAGCAGCCGCGGUAAAU
rnacentral:rRNA from 1 species